rnacentral:rRNA from 1 species
UACGUAGGGGGCAAGCGUUGUCCGGAUUUAUUGGGCGUAAAGAGCUCGUAGGCGGUUGGGUAAGUCGGGUGUGAAAACUCAGGGCUCAACUCUGAGACGCCACUCGAUACUGCUCUGACUCGAGUCCGGUAGGGGAGCGUGGAAUUCCCGGUGUAGCGGUGAAAUGCGCAGAUAUCGGGAGGAACACCAGUGGCGAAGGCGGCGCUCUGGGCCGGAACUGACGCUGAGGAGCGAAAGCGUGGGUAGCAAACAGG